rnacentral:rRNA from 1 species
AUUGAACGCUGGCGGCAGGCCUAACACAUGCAAGUCGAGCGAGCGGCGGACGGGUGAGUAAUGUCUGGGAAACUGCCUGAUGGAGGGGGAUAACUACUGGAAACGGUAGCUAAUACCGCAUAACAUCAGAUGUGCCCAGAUGGGAUUGGCUAGGAGGUGGGGUAACGGCUCUCCUAGGCGACGAUCCCUAGCUGGUCUGAGAGGAUGACCUGCCACACUGGAACUGAGACACGGUCCAUGCGCCUACGGGAGGCAGCAGUGGGGAAUAUUGCGCAAUGUGCGCAAGCCUGAUACAGCCUUGCCACGUGUAUGAAGAAGGCCUUCAGGUUGUAAAGUACUUUCAGCGGGUAGGCGUUACCCGCAGAAGAAGCACCGGCUAACUCCGUGCCAGCCGCCGCGGUAAUAC